rnacentral:rRNA from 1 species
UACGGAGGGUGCAAGCGUUAUCCGGAUUCACUGGGUUUAAAGGGUGCGUAGGUGGGUUGGUAAGUCAGGGGUGAAAUCCUGGAGCUCAACUCCAGAACUGCCUUUGAUACUGGCAACCUUGAGUCCGGGAGAGGUGAGUGGAACUGCGAGUGUAGAGGUGAAAUUCGUAGAUAUUCGCAAGAACACCAGUGGCGAAGGCGGCUCACUGGCCCGGUACUGACGCUGAGGUGCGAAAGCGUGGGGAGCGAACAGG